UUAUGGCCAUAUCAUGUUGAAACACUAGUUUCCUUACAAUCACCAAAGUUAAGCAAUGUCGAGCCUGGUCAGUACCUAUAUGGGUAACUGUUUAGGAAUACCAGGUGCUGUAAG